rnacentral:rRNA from 1 species
UGGGGAAUCUUGAACAAUGGGGGCAACCCUGAUGCAGCGACGCCGCGUGAGCGAUGAAGCCCUUCGGGGCGUAAAGCUCUUUCGACCGGAACGAUAAUGACGGUACCGGGAGAAGAAGCUGCGGCUAACUACGUGCCAGCAGCCGCGGUAAUACGUAGGCAGCAAGCGUUGUUCGGAGUUACUGGGCGUAAAGAGUGCGUAGGCGGUUUUCUAAGUUCGGUGUGAAAUCUCCCGGCUUAACUGGGAGGGUGCGCCGAAGACUGGGAAGCUGGAGUGUGGGAAAGGCAGGCGGAAUUCCUGGUGUAGCGGUGAAACGCGUAGAUAUCAGGAGGAACACCUGCGAUGUAGACGGCUUGCUAGACCAUAACUGACGCUGAGGCACGAAAGCGUGGGUAGCAAACA